UUGCAUGGAAUUGAACUUCUAUAGCAGAAAAUUAUUUGUUGUGAUUGAAUUAAAAGAAUGUCGUUCAGAUAAGUAAUUACAAAGAGAAGUCAUUUCCUUUAUAGAUACCCAUCCAUAUUCUCCGAUAGUGAUGAAAAACACUUUGUUUUGUUAAUAUAGAUAUAAAUCUCACACCAUUCAUGGCCCACCGUUAUUGGUUUGGAUGGAACUGGAAUUUCUGAUUCUUCUGCUGGAAUUCCCUUUCUCCAUCACAUGUUAGAUGUUAGUAAUCUUUUUUUUUUUUUUAAUUUGGAUCUAGUUUCUUGUUACUGUGAGAUUUGAUGCCCUCUCUCUAAUUAUAUGGUUGGUUUGUGUUUUUUAGCAACUUUCUUCGCAUGUGUUUUUCUGCAUGUGAGGGCAAUUAUUUUUUUUCUUAAUUACUGUGAGAUUUUUUUGUAAAAGAAUUCAAACUUAUGAUCAUUAGAAGUAAAUCCAAAACACAACUAGUUAAGCAGGCAACUGUUGAUAUUCACAUUGAUGAUCAUCACACUAACGAAAAUGUUGCUCUUGCUAUCGGAACUGUAUCACGGAGCGGAACGCUAACUAGAAUGGAAUUGACAACCUUACCAGGGGUUAGCAAGGGGAUUUUUUUUUUUUUGGCAAACAUAAGUAUGUUUAGGCACUAAAAGCUAGACAGUGGCUGGGUUUGCAGCGCUUGUGAUACACGCACAAGCAAUAAUCUGCAAAAAAAGAAGAAAAUCAGGAUUUUUAGGGUUUGUUAUGCUGGCUUGUUUCUGAGUUAUGAUGGAGUUGAGUUUUUGGGCGUGAUUUUAUUGAGGAGGUUGGCAAGGAUUCGGGGAAACUUUGAUUUGUUUUUGAUUGUAAACAAACCCUGAUUGAGCUGCGAUUUUGGUGUUUCUUCGGUUGGGAUUUCUGUUAAUUUUUGGGUCUGUUAUGGUUAAGUUUGGGGGCUGCUGCUGGUUCUGGUUGCCGUGGCUGGAGUGAUUUGGUGAGGAAGGGUGGCUUGGGUUUGAGAGUCAGUCAAGGGCUGUUACAGGUUAGUUUGUGAGGAAAGGACAUUGAAAAUGAGAAGUGAUGAGUUGAUUGAGGGGCUGGAAUGGUUUGAUUUGAAAUUGUAAUUUUUAGUUUUGAAUUGGCAGCUUAUGGGCUUAACUAAGAGAGAGGUCUAAUGAUUAAAAGGGGAAAGUUUGGGCUGCUGUUUUGGGAAGGCUUGCUAUGGCGGGAAGGUCCAUAGAGAGAGGAGAGGCUGUGGAUUGCUUGCUUGCUAGGUUCGGCGUUGUGGAAAUGUUGGAAAGGGGGGGACUGUCACAGCUGGUUUUGGUUUGUGAGGGGUGCUGCUGGUGUCUAAUUAAAAUAAGUGCAGACAUGUCUCUCUCUUUUUACCCUUCUUUAGUCAGAGUAUAUAACAAAGCAAGGUAUUCAAACA